ACAUCGGAACGUGUCCUGUAGUGGGGAGUAGCCCGGCCGAAAGACCGGACGUUAAUUAACCGCCAUACGAUCUACGGAAGAAAGACGGGGGAGUCUUCGGACCUCGCGCUAUAGGGGCGGGCCGAUGGCAGAUUAGCUAGUUGGUGGGGUAAAGGGCCCUACCAAGGCGACGAUCUGUAGCUGGUCUGAGAGGACGACCAGCCACACUGGGACUGAGACACGGCCCAGACUCCUACGGGAGACAGCAGUGGGGAAUUUUGGACAAUGGGCGAAAGCCUGAUCCAGCAAUGCCGCGUGUGU
rnacentral:rRNA from 1 species